CAAGUGGUGGAGCAUGUGGUUUAAUUCGAAGAUACGCGAAGAGCCUUACCUGGCCUUGACAUCCCAAAAACUUUCCAGAGAUGGAUUGGUGCUAGCUUGCUAGAAUUUGGUGACAGGUGCUGCACGGCUGUCGUCAGCUCGUGUCGUGAGAUGUUGGGUUAAGUCCCGCAACGAGCGCAACCCUCGUCCUUAGUUGCUAACAGUUCGGCUGAGCACUCUAAGGAGACUGCCUUCGCAAGGAGGAGGAAGGUGAGGACGACGUCAAGUCAUCAUGGCCCUUACGGCCAGGGCUACACACGUGCUACAAUGGGGCGUACAGAGAGUUGCGAUACCGCGAGGUGGAGCUAAUCUCAUAAAGCGUCUCUCAGUUCGGAUUGUUCUCUGCAACUCGAGAACAUGAAGCUGGAAUCACUAGUAAUCGUAGAUCAGCAAUGCUACGGUGAAUACGUUCCCGGGUCUUGUACUCACCGCCCGUCACACCAUGGGAGUUGAUUUCACCCGAAAUCGGGAUGCCAAACUGGCUACCGCUUACGGUGGAAUUAGCGACUGGGGUGAAGUCGUAACAAGGUAA
rnacentral:rRNA from 1 species